rnacentral:rRNA from 1 species
UGUAAAGUUCAAGCUCCGAUUAUGAGGGCGAAACCGCGAAUGGCUCAUUAAAUCAGUCAUAAUCUACUUGACCGUUUAAAGUUUAUAUGGAUAACUGUGGUAAUUCUAGAGCUAAUACAUGCACAAAGAGGGCGACUCCCGCAAGGGAGAAGCUCUGCGUUUAUUAGACUAAGACCAAUGAUUGGAGCAAUCCAAUCUUGAUUAAGGUGACUCUGAAUAAAUAAUGGGUGAAAGCCCAUGUUGCUGACCUGACAUACCAAAAGGCCCUAAAAAGCCUGUCAGGCGAAUCAAUCGAGUGUCUGCUCUAUCAACUGUGGAUGGUAGGGUAAUUGCCUACCAUGGUGGUGACGGGUAACGGGGAGUUAGGGCUCGACUCCGGAGAACAAGCCUGAGAAACGGCUAGUAGGACUAAGGUCUGCAGCAGGCGCGAAACUUACACAAUGCUAGAUUACAAUUAGCGAUGUAGUGAAGAAAAAUAACGAUGUACUUACAUUUAAACAUGUUAGUACAAUUGGAAUGAGACGACUAUAAACCAGUCAGUCGAGUAACAAAUGGAGGGCAAGUCUGGUGCCAGCAGCCGCGGUAAUUCCAGCUCCAUUAGCAUACAUUAAAGUUGUUGCGGUUAAAAAGCUCGUAGUUGAAUUUUAGGCGAGCUCUAUUGGGAUGCAUCCGUUAAGACUCUUGACUGAUCUUCGCGAUCUUCAUGCAGUUGGUUGUAUUUUCCCUAUAGGAACUCGCUGUUUCGUCACUUAAUCGAGUGCGAAGCGGGCUGAAACAAGACUCCACAACUUCGGUUGUAGUUUGUAUCAGCAUGUUUACCUUGAGAAAAUUAGAGUGCUCACAGCAGGCAGUUGGGGUGUAAAAGCCCCUUUAUGCUUGAAUAAUGUUGCAUGGAAUAAUAGAAUACGGCCUCGGUUCUAUUCUGUUGGUCUUAUAGAACAACAAACAAGUUGGUUGAAGCGACAAAAGUCUACUUGCGAGCGUGAUUUAGAGUCAACUUUUGGGUGUUUUGAAUAGUCCUUGUUGAAUUAUGUUGCCUUUGGGUCAAACCUUUGAGCCGUGUUCUCUUGAACUUUCAUUAUCAUUCGAUUGCACAGCUCUCUAUCAUCCAAGCGCUCCUUGUCAGGCUGCUUCCAAUCAACUGAGGCAAUGGUUAAAAGAAAUAGUCGCGGCGGCAUCAGUACUGCAUCGUGAGAGGUGAAAUUCUUAGACCGAUGCAAGACUAACUGAAGCGAAAGCGUUUGCCGAGGAUAUUUUCAUUAAUCAAGAACGAAAGUUAGAGGUUCGAAGGCGAUCAGAUACCGCCCUAGUUCUAACCAUAAACGUUGCCAACUAGCAAUUGGGUUGCGAUUCCUUUAAUCGAGGCCUAAAAACCUCGAUCAUUAUGAUCCACCCAGCGGCUCUCGUAGGGAAACCAAAGUGUUUGGGUUCCGGGGGAAGUAUGAUUGCAAAGUUGAAACUUAAAGGAAUUGACGGAAGGGCACCACCAGGAGUGGAGCCUGCGGCUUAAUUUGACUCAACACGGGGAAACUUACUAGAUUAGAACUCUGGAAUGAUUGACAGAUUGAUAGCUCUUUCUUGAUUCAGAGGAUGGUGGUGCAUGGCCGUUCUUGAUUCGUAUUCCGAAACGUCUGCUUAAUUGCGAUAACGAGUGAGACCUCACCCAACUAACUAGUCGUUUGGUGCGCUGUGGAACACUAAAGUCCGUGCAAGUUUUUCACAUAUUGGCGGGCAACCGUUCGGUGUGUGAUAAUUUGUUGCGGAUGUUCUCUGCUCGCCAGCGGACUUCUUAGAGGGAUAAACGGUGUUUUAGCCGUAAGAAACGAG